rnacentral:tRNA from 1 species
GUGCUUUUAGUUCAGUGCGGUAGAAACUGGGUCUCCAAAAUCCGAUGUCGUAGGUUCAAAUCCUACGGAACUUU